rnacentral:lncRNA from 1 species
UUUUAAUUUGUGUGUUAAUAGUUGUCAAGUGCUAAUUAAUAUUUGUGUAGUUUUGUUUCGAUUUUACAAAUUAAUUAGGAAUGUUGUUUAAUUAUAAAUUAAAAGAAGGAAAAAAAGAAAAGAGUUCAAAAUUAAGGGAAUUCGGACCUGGUUAAUUUAAACCAAGGAAAUGAGGCCCAAAACAACCCAUAUAACCGGUCCAAGUGGGUUGGUCUCUCAUACCAACCAAACGACGUCGUUUACGUCUAUCAGAUCUGGACCGUUGAUUUGUUUCAAUCAAACGGUCUAGUCCAGCCCAACACUAAUUAAAAUGACAACGUCUCAGGAGAAUUGAUCUAAGCCGUUCAUCUCAUUCAAUCCAACAUCCUCAAGCACGCCCCUAUACCCGACCCAUUCAUGUUUGAGACUGACCCAGUCCCUAGCUUAACCAAACGGCGUUGUUUCCCCUUUUGUGAAAGAUCUUGGCCGUUGAUCAUUCUUGAUCCAACGGCCAGGAUCAAAUACCUCCCCCUCGUAUAUAAUCCCUCGUCUCUCACCCCACGCCCCCAAAAACAAAUACCCCCCUUCACCCCUUUGUCUCUCUCAACUGAGAGACGAAACCAGCAAAACCCUAGCUGCCACCGUUUACCUUCGCCUGAAACCUGGCGAAACUACGCCGCCGACCACCAACUUAACACCCUAGAGCCACUCGAGCAACCUGUUUACGAAUCCACUACUCCUUUGGCUCGAAUUAGUCCAUAGCUUCUAGAAUCUUGAUUUGAAGAUUCGAGCCAAACGGAAAUCUAUACCAGCCAACCCCAAAUUCACACCAUGAUCCCCUGACCUCCCUCAUACCUUGAACGCCGUUGGUUCCCUUUGAAUCUAACCAGAACUGUUCGAACCCUAGAAAACCAAAUGAUGAAGUCUGUCCCAUUAAGUGAGGAUUUGGGGUCUGAUCGACCUUAAUCGAAGUGUUUUCAGUUUAGAACACUUCGACUAAUGUCUGUUCGACCUCAAAAUGUCCGAGUUCGAGUUCGAGUCAAGGUUGUCCAUUUCUGAGUAUUCCUAAGGUAUUUUCUUUUUCCUCUUUGUUCUAUAUUCAUGUUUAUAUCCGUUUAUCUGUUUAGUUUGUUGUUUUGAUUUUUCCAUUUUCUUUCGAUCGAUUCUGUCCAUCUUCAAUAACCUUUUAUUUGGUCGAUUAUUCUUCUGUUCAUUAUAAUAAUGAGUUAUAAACUAUAUAGUCGAUUUGAAAACUAUGUUGAAUAGUUAGUUUAUAAGGUCCUUGUUUUGCCUAUACAGCUCCAAUCACCUUGUUGGUCUGUUUUUAUUCUGUUCGUUUGUUGUUAACUGUUAUAUGAUAUAAUUUGUAUUGUCGAUUGCAUUAAUGUCGUCAAAUGGUUCGGGGUUGAAUGUUGUAUGUACAAAUUUUUAGGCACUUAGCUUCAGGGCAUUGUCAACGCUGACAAUGAUCCUACAUACUUGUAUAGGCCGAUUUAGAAUUGUGUUAAAUUUAAUCCCUCUAUCCAUGUGAUUUUGAUUCAGUUUUAGUUUUAGUUUCAAUGAUUAUAUUGAGUUUUGUGUUGCAGUUUUGGUUUUUGAUUUAAAUUCAGUUCAUUUGUUUCAAUUAAUUUAACCUUAAUCAUUCAGUUGUCAGGAAGAUUGGUUAUAGCUGUUAAUUAGAAUUAGUUCUAGGUAAUUGUUUUUAGGUUUGAACAGUUUGGUUUGGGGCAGUAAUAGUCAAGGGGUUUCAGGGGCAAUUUGGGAAUGAAAAUAUUAGGAAAUUAGUUUAAUAUUAGCAAUCUGAAAGCGGGGUAUUAAAGGCUAUUAAACUAAUAAGUAAUUGGGGAGCAAAACAUAGUGGUAUAGGGAGCUACUAGGUAAUGAGUAAUACACUGAUGGAUUAGUCAAAAGAGGGAAACAUUCUCUAGUGGGAUUGAAAAAGGGAAAGGUUGAACUGACGAAGGAAUAAGGGGUUGGCCUAGUACCUUUUACUAAUUUAGAAAUCAGAAACAUUAAGUAAUAAUUAAAAAAGUUAAAAGGGUUCACAUAGUAGAAGAAUAUUAAAGCUGGAAAGUAAAAAGGAGUAGGGGUAAUAAUAAAUGGUUUCUUUUACAAAUGUAAGAGAAAAGUAGGGCUAAUAGGGGUCUGCUUUGGGUAUAAAAUAGGAGUCAUUUGGGAAUAAUGGGAGACUGGAUUUUGAACAUAGAAGUCUAGAGUUUAAAGAGUGAUUGAGGUUGAAACUUUGAACAAUUUUUUUUCCAGAAUUUGAGUUAAAAAGGGACUGAAAUUUAACAUCAUAAAUUGAGUGUUUGAGAGUUAAAAAACUAAAGGAAUAUGCUUUCUUUCACUGUUGAAAAUCAGUACUAGUAUGCUAUCGUUUCAUUGAAAUUUUGAAGUUUCGUUUCUUUAAGUGUUUGAAAACCAGAAAACUAUUGUUUUCGUGCUUCUGGUUCUUUCGGAUUUUGCCUGGGUUUGCUACUUGAUAUACUGUUAUUGUUUCAUCGAACGUGCUGUAAUUCUGUUUGGUUUUUGUAUCCGUUCCUGGGUUUCUAUUACUGUUGUUGUUGCUGUGUUGUUGCUAUCGAUGCUUGAUUCUCAUCCUCCUCUCUUCCUUGUAUUCAAAUACCAGGUACACUACUUCAAAUCAUCUCGAUGUAUAUUCAUUGAAGUUAAAGUGAAAUGGCUAAGGGAUCUGUGAUUCAACUAAUAAGAACCUGUAUUUAGUUAAUUUUUGUUAUGUGUUUUUUCGUUAUAGGAAUGGUAUAUGUAUGCAUAACUAGGACUGUUCUUUUAUAAAUUAAUGAUUAGCAAUAAUAAUGAUGCAAAAUAUUAGGCUCUGAACUAAGAUUCUUUGAAUGUUGUAAACAUUAGUCAAUACAGUAUGUAUGUCUAAUUUGAGCAAUUUGUAGAUUGUUGAACUAUGGGAUGCAUGUCUGGAGGAAUCUCAUGGUUAUUAGUUUUAUGCUUUGCUAGUUUAUAUAAUGUAUUUUGAAAUCACAUUCAACUCAAAUUGGUGAAUAGUAAAUAUGGGAAAUCGAUUUAAUUUGGUUGGUUAGUAAAAUCUAGCUUUGAACUCGUGAAUAUUGGAAUAGAAGAAAUUUGAAGUUCGUGAUUUAUGACUCUUGGUAGUAAUAAAGAUCCGCAAGUAUUAGGCAAAUAUAGCUGGUGUAAUUUCAUAGAAUCAGUAGGUUUGACAUAUUGAAAGUGUGAUCCGAUGUAGCAAGGAUAUUGUCAAUUUAAUAGGCAUAAGUUAAGUUCGAACAAGGUGGGCUAGAGAUCCUUUAAUUAUAAUAGAUUUUUCCAAUUGUCGUUUAAGUUUUUAACAAACUUUCGCAAGCAUAGGUAAUUAAGGUUGGUUUUUAUUUCUAAUAGUUGUAAACAUGUAAUUCCAACGGUGCAAUUCAUAUAACCAUGUGGUUUAGAUUUAGUUAAUGGAUAAUUAAUGUAUUUUGAUAAUAUUAUAUGUAAAUCCCGUAUUCUAUUUCUUUUCAAGUUUAGAAGUAUUGGCUUAUAGAAUCAUGCUUGAAAUAAUUUUUCUUUGAGCAACUUCAAUUAUAAAUAUUUCGUUAGCAUUUGUCUUAAGAUAGUAACCGAUAAUUGGUGGCAUUUUCAAACAUGUAAUUAACUAGAAUUUUUCUCUUUUGUUUUAUAGACGAAUUUAACAGAAGAAAAUGUAGUCACUUUUAGGAUUAUCCUAUUAAAAUAAACGACACAAGCCUUGCCAAAUAAAAUGCAAAGGCCGCAGGGUCCUCAAUAAAUGGUUGGGAAUUGUAUAGACUUGGGACAUGCCGUCUUAGCGAAUUCCACGGCCUUCCCUAAAUAAUAAUGCGUUAGUCUCUUUAGUUGUGUACUUUAAUAACAUUACCUCCCUAAACUUGAGUGUUCAAUUAUGUGACCCAAAUUCAAAUCUCAACGGAGUCGAGAUGUGUCAACAACCACGGGUACAUUAAUUUUACGUGGUUUGAGAUACGUUUCCACGACGUUGCAAUUCUCUUUUAAAAUAAUAAAUAAUAAAAGCGGUUAAAAGUUAAAAUUUGCACAUAGGUUUAACAUGUAUUAAAAUGAGAUAAAUAAGCCGAAUAUGACAGUUGAGAGACCGUGCUAGAAUUACGGAAUUCGGGAAUUCCUAACGCCUUCACCCGGGUUAAUAUAAUUCAUUUUCCAGAUUUCUGGUUCGCGAACUGUAAUACAGAGUCAAUCUUUUCCUCGAUUCGGGAUUCAACUGGUGACUUGGGACACGAUAAAUCUCCCAAGUGUCGGCUCUGAAUUAAAUAAACAAAUCCCGGUUCGAUUGUCCUUUAAUUGAAAAAACUCUCCUGCACACCACGUGGGCGCGGUAAAAAGGAGGUGUACACAAAAUACUCAUGUAGUUGUACAUAUAAAAAAAUAUUUUUAAUCAAAAGCAAGAAUAAUUAGAUUUUCUUCUAUAUUUCUUAACAAGUUUUGUAGAAAAAAAUUUAAUUGAGGAAUAAAGACAACAAGAAAAACAAGAAGGAAAAAGAACAAAAAUCACAAUACACUUAUGGAAGCAAAAAUGGGUUGCAAUCUCGCUGUUGUGACACCAAUUUUCAUCCCCGCAACCUCAAUUCUUACCGUCCAAUUUCUAUCGUUGUGAUGGUGGCUCUCUUUCAGUUGCAUAUUUUCUUAGUAAUAGAAAUCAACUUUGUGUAAUAAAAUCAUAAUCAUUAGCCAGACACAAGUAUUAAUCUUGAUCUCUUUUCUUUCUUAGCUAGUGUUUGCACAUAAAUUUGGUUAAAACUUGAAAAGAAAUAAUUUUUUAAGUUUUUAAAAAAAAUAAUUUUUAAAAGUUAAAUUGUGUUUGGACAUGCAUUUUAUUUUUAAAAAAAAUAAACUUUUGUGAGUGGAAGAAAAAAUUUCACCCAAAAACUACUCUAAACUAGAUUUUGGGAACUUAAUUUUUUAAAAAAAACUGAUUAUAAUCUAUGAACAAACAACACUUUCAAAAUAAAUUAAAAAGGAAUUACCAAAAUCUGGCCAAAUGGGAGCUUAGUCUAUACUUACUUCUCAAAAAUUGAUUGCCCCAAUUAAAGGAUUAAACCUAGAGAUAGUAAUACCCGACUUGAGUUAAAAUCAUUUGAACUGCAUGAAUACCCAAUUGGACUUGAAAAAGCCAACUUAGGCAAAAUCACUCAAAUUACCGGGAGGUAUAGAGUGAGUAUCCGGGUGUUAUAGAUAUAUUACGACCCCAAUUAAUCACAUGAUUUCCCUAUGUUCUUGCUAAUCAUUAGAUAUCCACCUAGGUAGAAGUCACUAGCAUAGUCCACUUAAACCCUUAAAAAUCAACCUAAAAAACAUUGUUAAUUUUAACUAUUGCAUGCUAUAGAAUAGAAGUAGAUGUAAAAAAACUAGCCAUGUGUGGAAGUGUAAUUAAGAGCAAUACCCGCAUUUCUACUUAGAUAUAAAUCUAACUCCAAACAAAUUAACUACUUGUGGAUUCAAUACCGACCUUGCUGAGUAAAACUGCAUUGACCAUCCUCGCUACUUAAUAGUAGUGUCGGCUUCGACACGAUCAAUCAGCUACCUCAUACCUAGAUUUGCAUAGAAAUAGCAGAAGUGUAGUAUGAGUCUACCAUGAUCAUACCGAGUAAAUAUCAAGACAAACUUCGAUGAUGUCGUGACGAGGUUCUAGUCAUGUGAUACUCACUAUUAAAAUAACUUGCGCUAUAAAUCAAAGACUGACAAAAAAAGUAUAGUAGGAAACAAUAACAAUAACCUUAUCAGGAUGAGUUAUAUUAGUUUACUGCAAGUAAAUGCUCUAUUUAGACAACCAGUCACCAUCACGAAAAACAAACAAGAAACAUCUCAUGCCCAUAUUUUUAUCACAAUAAACAACCACAUGUAUCACUCUGUCCUGACAAAGUCAAGUAGCAACUUAUACAACUCCGCCCUAACAAUAGCAAAAUAGCCACCCGCAUCACUCCGCCAUGAAAAUAUCACAAUAACUCUCAGUAGCGAUCCGCCCUGAGAAUAAAAAAUUAAUCACAUAUAUUCAUCCACUCUGAGAAUAUCACAAUAGCCACCCAUAUUCUCCGUCCUGACAAUAUCACAAUAGCCACAUGUAUCACUCCACCAUGAUAAUAUCACAACGGCUACCCAUAUUGCUCCGCAAAACAACAGUAAUGUCAGCAUUAUACUCCACACAACAUGUGCAUGUAUACCAUAAUAUCACAAAAUAAUAAGACCAAAAUUGUAUCACGGAUAUUAGUUAAUAGUUUAUCAACAAAGGGGCACAAGGGCAUGGAAAUGGUAAUAUAUGGAUGGGUAUUAAACAAAUAAAGUAUUACCAUGCUAAACUAAGUGUAGUGAUCAUGUUCACAUAGCAAUAUAGUAAUGGAGCAUAUUCAUAUACAAUACAUCCCCAAAUUAAGGUAUAUUAAUAACCUAAUGUCUAUUUCGUUCACAAACCACACAUAAUACUCGUGUACACAUUUGUUACCUCGUGCACGCGUUGCUUUCCACAUAACAAAAAUAAACAAUGCCGAUACAUUUAGUUUCAGUAGUUAAUCCCCAUUCAUAUGUUAUAAACAAGUUUCACAAAAUGUUUGCGCAAUAUUUUUGGAGUACUGCUGUGGGUGCAAAGAGCAGACAGUGGACUUCUUGGGACAAAUUGUGAUUAUUGUAUGAAGAGGGAGGUGUAGGCUUUCGAUCACUACAUGAUGUCUCCACAAGUUUAUUUUGUAAGCUAUGGUGGAACAAAACCAAGUUUAUGGAGUUCAUCACAUGUCAAAAGCAUUGUAAGAAGCUCAAUCCUAUUAUUGUUCCAUGUCAUCAUGGAUCACAUAUAUGGAGGAAGAUGUUAGAUUUUUAAUCCAAAAAUGAUAAAUAAAUUAAAUAAAAAAUAAGAUUUACCGUAAAAUCGAGAUAAAUAGCAGAUAGCCUAGUUUCGAGAGAAAAGCUUCCGAAUGUAGUCCUUGCAUUUAAUACUCGAACACGUGUUACUCCAUGAUUUCACAAUAUUUUUGUCAGUUCUCGGGGUAAUCAUGGCCACAAUUUUAGCCGCCUAUAUCUUAAGUUAUACGUCUCAUUCUACCACUUUCGUUGCUAACAACUUCAUAAACAUUCUAACUUCACUCCUUUUAACUCCCUCAUGCUUUUAUCUCUCUUUGUCCUUCAAAAACUCUAUCAUCCUUUUCCCAUUAUGUCUUCAUAUUCUAAUUCUUCUAAGAACGCUGGUCUUCUCUUCGGUGGGGGCCUGAAAAGGAGCAAAGAUAAAGAGGUUUAUAUUGAUGUUGAUCCUACCACGGUAAGCACCAUCAUCUCCAAACAUCUAAACACUGCCAAGGACUUCGAAGAGAAGUUCCCCGCUUCAAACUCUUAAAUAUGGGCUGUUGGUAAAUAUCCUUUUUCUUUCGUCCUUCCAGUAUUCCUGCUGUGGAAGGAGGACUAUAACUACAACGCCCUAAACAUUAUUGCUCCCGAUCUAGUAGAGCGGGUAAACUUCACUGAGAAGGGUUUCUUGUACGUGCACACGUACACCUUCACUUUGGGCCCAUUAUCAUUAGGCAGGAUACUGGACCUCAUGAUCUUAGAGUUCUACCACUGGUAUUAAGUCAGUUUGGUAUAUAUAAUCCUCUCUGUGUGACGAAUGGUGGCUAGUCUGCAGCGGCGGUGCCUGGAAAUGAAUGAGCCCUUUACCUUGGCUCAUAUGAUGAACCUCUGGGAGUAAUAAACGUUAACAAGUGUGGCCACCAUGCUUUGCUUACCAGUAUGGAUAAUGACAAUGACAUUACAUGGAUGGAGCUGUUUGUUGUCAUUGCUACCUGGGAUAUCAUUCUAGCAAUAACUCUUUCUUUCCCCGAAUCUUAUAAUCAUUCACGUAGGUUCAAAGUCUAUCUCUUUCUCUGGAAAUAGGAUAUUUCAUGUCAUUUUCAACCAUUCUUCUUUCAUUAUUUCAGCAACUCAGUGGAUACCAUCAACUCCGCCUACUUUUUCUGGGGGCGUAGAUGCUUCUCUUCCCUCGAGUUCCGGUGGCGACGUAAUUUAGAUUUUUGCUUUCUUUUCCCUUUAUUGCUUGUGACGCUUGGCGUGUUUGAUAAAAUAAAAGUACUUUUUCUUUAAGCAUUGUGCAAAGUUUAUUCGUUUUAUGUUAAGUUAGGCAAGGCUUUGGGUGUAUUUUCCCUCAUAGCAUUUAGGUUCGGUGUAUAUACUCUUCUGAAACCAAUCCUUUACUGUGACGUUUUCGUAAGAGAGGGCCCUCUUAUGUUUAUGGUUCUCUUGAAGAUAACGUCUCCUGUUCAUUUUCUAGCAUUUAAAGUACCUAGUUAACUUUCAAAUGAUAAAAUUAAUUCAUCGUUUGAUCAAGAAAUAAGACAAAAAUAAAAGGGCUUUAUUUUAUUCCUUCUAUCUUGAAAAGUACAUAAGCAGUCGAGUGCUGAAAGAAAAGAAAUUUCCAAUACAUUUGGCUAUUCUGUAAAACUUGUUCCUGCAGGCUAGCCGUGUAGUCCCCGGUCCCGAUAAGAUGUAUUUGUUAUCGAGUUUUGUAGUCCCGAUUUCCAUGGCAAUCAGGUUUCCGUAUUUUCAUGCUAUCCCCACAAUGUUCGAAUGUGAAGACUGCAAAUUGGAACACGGAAAGUCUUUCUCCUUUGACGAAAAACACUGAUGAAUGGUUUGAUAAUCCUUUUGUUCGAUUAUUUAACCACCCUUUGUUUCUUGCAGGAAAAACACUUGUGAAUAGUUAAAUAGCCUUUCGUCCAUGGCAAGUUUUGCUUUCCAUUAGGAAUUCGACCGAGCCAAAAACUAUUUAACCAUCCCAAAAUGGUUGUUGCUUCAAUGCCGAGUCAUUUAAAGGUCUUAUCUCUGCUGAUGAUGUUUCCUUCGUAGUAUGCUUUCUGUUGUUGCAUCGUUAAAAACCUUGCCAAAAAAAUCCAAUAUAAUAGAUGCUUUCCCAUGUUGGACCUAGCUUUCCCGCGUUGAGAUUCCGGGUGUUACCUUUUAUUUACUUUCUUCAAAACCAAGUAUCUCACUUUGAAAUAACAAAUAGUGCCCCUCCGGCUAUACCACAUUUCUAUUCUUUGUUUCUAGGCCACCAUCAUUAUGUGCGCUGCAUUCGUCAAGCAACUCUAAUUUGACAAAUAAUUCUUCACUAGUUGCUUCUUUGUCUGCACAUAAGUUACACAAGGUCAGUUCUCCUACUUCCACUAGGAUCAGAGCUUCUGCACCAUAUACGAGAGAGAAAGGUGUAUUUCCUAUGCUCGACUUGGCCGUCGUCUGGUAUGCCCACAACACUCUUGGUAACUCUUUGGGCCACUUGCCUUUGGCUGUUUCCAACCUCUUUUUGAGGUUUUGAAUAAUAGCCUUACUAGUCGAUUCCUCCUGCCCAUUUGCGCUCGAAUGGUAUGGCGAAUAUGUGAUUCUUUUAAUUUCAGGUCUUCAAGAAAUUUUCUGACCUUGGAACCUCUAAACUAUGGCCCGUCGUUUCAGGCAAUCUCCUUGGAUAUUCCAAACUGGCAAAUUAUAUUUUUCCAUAGGAAAUCAACCGUUCCGCACUCAUCGAUUUUUUUGGUAAGGACCUACUUAAGCCCAUUUAGUAAAAUAUAGUUAAAAUUAAAAGAGACAUCAUCUUCCUAGAACCAGGUGGCAAUGGCCCGACUAUAUCCAUCUCCUACUUCAUGAUUGACCAUGGAGACAAUACUGAAUGUAAGAGCUCUGCCUGUUGGUGCACAAACUGUGCUUAUCGCUGACACUCGUUUUAUUUCUGAAUGAAUGACUUUGCACAUUGCUCCAUUCGAGGCUAGUAGUUUCCGACCCUAAUUAAUUCUAGGACCAACGAAUCUGCACGUGAAUGGUUCCUGCAAAUUCCUUCAUGAACCUCUCGCAUGACGUAGUCAUCCUUGAAGGCUCCUAAACAUUGGGCCAACGGGCCUUGGAAUGAUCUUUUAUGUAACUUCCCUCCCUAGAAGUUGUGACGUGAUGCUUUGACGUAGAGAGCCCUGGAUGCCUUCCGGUCUUUGGGCAGCUUGUCGUGAUCACGGUAAUCGAUGAUCUCAUUUCUCUUGUCCUAGACUAGGUUGGUUGUAUUUACUUCACAAUAACUAUCCGUACGACCCCAAGUUUUCCAAUGCAUCUGCUUCUACGUUUUCUUCUCUCGAGAUGUGGGUGAUCGACCACUCCCUGAACCGUGUGAGAAAAGUUUUAACUUUAAUCAUAUAAUGUUGCAUGCCUUCCUCCUUUGUAUAAAUGAUCCGAUAAACAUGGUUUACCACUAGCUGCGAAUCACAUUGGAUUUCUAUGACCUCAGAUCCAACUCCGAGCCAAUUCGAGUUCUGCAAUCAAUGCCUCACACUCAGUUUCAUUGUUAGUCAAAGGAACAAUUUGUACAGCCUUCCUCAGGGUUCUCCUAAUGGCGUGAUUAGGACCACCCUGAGCCUGGACCCUUUCUGUCAUGACCCCAAAACCAACACAACCAUGACGGCACCUAUCAAGGAACUACGUCAGCCGACACAUUCCCAAAAAUAAUGCAAAAUUUCAUUAAAAACAGAUAAUAACCUUUUUCACAUUGAAAUUUCCUCAAAAGAGAUAAAUUCAAAACCAAAAUGCGAACUAAAGCCCGACAAUGAGUGUCACUAAGUCAUGAGCAAAUACUACACUGUUUCGAAAUAUAACAAGACUAAAUAGUUUGGAAAUCAACUAUUAUUAUUUAUUGGGAGAUAUGAGGGAGCAGAGCAAGACUAAGAUCGCCAUGUAGCUACCCUUCCAACUCCAAAAUAUCCGCAGUGGAUGUAAAUUAACGCUCGCUAGCACGUUCAGGAAUCCCUGGAUCUGCACACAAGGUGCAAGGAGUAAUGUGAGUACCCCAAUUCAGUAAGUAAUAAAGAUAAACAAAGAUUGAGCAUUAGGAAAACACAAAAAAUCCACAUCAUGAAAACUUAGUAAGUACAACACGCGUUUGAAUCAGUAUAUGAGUCAAAUCAUCUCAUUUAAAAUCUAGUUUUCGGUAAAACAAUCAUUUGAAGAUGAUUUUUAAUAAUUCCAACAAAGGCUUAAUGAAAUUUAGAGUAAAAGAGAUGAAAAUCAUAAACAUCCCCUCAGGCAAAACAUAGUCCGUAUACAGCCCCUCGGGCAACAUGAUCAUAAACCGCUCCUCGGUCAUAACAUCACUCAGAAUUGACCCCUCGGGAAAACCUCGGGCACAACAUGAAUCAAGAACAGCUCCUCGGCCAUAGCAUCAUAUCACUCACUCAGGGUACCCGCGCUCUCUUGGGUGUACAGACUCCGAAGGGGCUCCUACAGCCUAAGCACUACAACAAGCCACCUCGUGGCAUAAUCAAUCAGGCCCUCGACCUCUCAUAAUCGUAUAUCAAUAACAUCAUGUUGUGGCACGUAGCCUGAUCCUAUAAUAUCCUCACAAUACAGGCCCUUGGCCUUACUCAGUCAGAAAUCUUUCAAGCCACUCGAGCUAUCAGUAAAAGCACGGUGCUCAGCCGAAAAUACCAUUUUAUGCAUCAAAACGGAGUAAAAAAGACUGAGUUAUGAAAUCACAAAAUAUGCAUGACUAAGUACAUAUCUUAAGUCAAAACAGUGAGGAAACAAUAACAAAAGACCCCCUAAGGGUCCAAACAGCUUGGCACGAGGCCCAAAUAUGGCAUUUAGCCAAAAUUAUAGAAAUUCUUUCUAAAACACAUAAGUACCAUAUAGAUUCCAGUCAAAUAUGAAACUUAAUAGUUUCUACGGUACAGACCAAGUUACAAUCCCCAAUGGUGCACGCCCACACGCUCGUCAUCUAGCAUGUGCAUCACCUCAAAAUAAUGAAACGAUGUGGAAUUCGGGGUUAAGAUUUAUCAUCAUUACUUACCUCGAACUGGUCAAAUCCCUAGUCCGCGACGCUUUUGCCUCUGAAAUCGGCCUUCAAACGUCCCGAGUCCAACAAAAAGCAUUACAAUGCAAUCAAUAUAGGCCAAUGAACUAAUUCCAUAUGAAAAAUUAUCAAUUAGACCAAAAUCCUAAAAUUCACCCAAACCCGCCCCCCGAGCCCACAUCUUGGAAUCCGAUAAAAAUCACAAAACUAAAAACUCUUUCACUCACGUGUCUAUGCGUACCAAAUUCAUCAAAAUCCGACCACCAAUGGUCCCUCAAAUUCCCAAAUCACUCUCAAAAACUCAAGCCCUAACUCCUUCAACUUCACCCCAAAUUCCCACUAAUUUUAGGAUUAAAUAGUGUGAAAAUCAUCGUAAACACAAGUAAUAGAGCCCAAGCAACUUACCUCACUGAUAUCCCUCGAUUCCCCCUUGAAAAUCACUGUCCAAAUCUCAAAAACUGGCCAACAAUGCCGAAGAAUAGGCAAAUAUUCACGAAGUAUGGCUUUUAUACUUUCUGCCCAGAAGUCCCGCACCUGCGGUCCACGAACAUGCACUUGCGCUACCACAUCUGCGGUCCAAAGAGCGCACCUGCGGAUUCCACUUAUCCGUCCAUUUCUGCAUCAGCGACUCUCCUAUCGCACAUGUGGUCUCACAGGUGCGACAAUACCUCCGCACCUACGCUCAAGCUCCAGUUGGCCAAUUUCGCAUAUAUGAUCCCCCUUUCGCAUCUGUGACCUCGCACAUGCGGUGCCCAAUCCGCAGGUGCGGAAACUUUAGAAGCACCAACUUCAGCUACACCAUCUAAAUUCCUACUCUUCCGUUAACUAUCCGAAUUCAUUCUGAGGCCUCCGGACCUCAACCAAAAAUAUCAACAAGUCACAUAUCACCAUUCAAACUUAUUUUAACCUUCGGAACACUCAAAACUACAUCAAAAUACCAAAUCACCCUAAGAUUCAAGCCUAAGAACUUCCAAUCUUCUGAAUUUUGCAAACGAUGUUGAAACCUAUCAAACCUCGUUCGAAUGACCUGAAGUUUUACAAACAUGUCACAAAUGAUAAUACGGACAUACUCUAAUUUCUAGAAUUUCACUUCGACCAUGAUAUCAAAAUUUUCACUGUCGAUCGGGACAUGACAAAUUUCUAAUUUUACCAAUUCAAGCCUAAAUCUACCAACGUGAUCGUCCUCAACAUCAUCAUGAGUUGUCUCCCACACAUCCCGGGAUAAUGCUUUCCUUAGUCCGGAGUUGCUACGUCCUCCUCGCUGCGGGGGUCACUGAUCAAAUGUUUGUGUUGAGGUAGAUUUUCUUGCGCCUCGACAUUAUGUUUGACGUUGACAUCGUUAAUGGCCAUUUUUUGAAUUUUUGUUAUGAAUUAAAGAAUCAAACAAGUUAGUAAUAGAUGUAAGGAUCAAUUCAACUACGCAUUUGUCUAAGUCCCAGGUGGGUGUCAAAUUAUUUACCCGUAAAAUGAUACAGUUGAAUUUGUUACGUGACUUAUAGACAAGCGAACUAAUUUGAUGAAAAAAUAAUAAAUAAAUUAAAUAAGAAAAUAAGACUUAGUGUUGAAAUCGAGAUAAAUAGUAGAUAGCCUACUUCCGGGAGUAAGGCUUCUGAAGGCAGCAAUAAGAAUAAUGUUAGACAGAAAAUAAAUAUUAUUUAGCUUAGAAAUAGUGGGCAUUAUAAGUUUGUAAGAGAUUUUUCGUGUCCUACAAUGGUAAUUGAAAUCACUAUUUAUAGCUAUACCUAGGGAACAAGGUCCUAGGAUCAAACCCCUCUUAAUUGACAAUAAUGUGGACCAAUGAUGAAUAUGCAAUGUCAAACCAUGAAUACAAAAAUUCUCUAUAAUGGCUGUAUAUUUAAUACCGAGAAAUACCCUUCAUUAAAUGCCAUCCGGUGACAAUAUUCGUUUGUUUCAGUUAACUAUGUUCUCUUUGGGAUCUACCCGGUGCCAACCGAGGCCGUUCUCCUUUCUCUUGAUUUUCACUCACUUCCUAUUCCGUCUGCCUCCAGUUUCACGUGUCAUGCUAUUAUUCGGGCAUUUAAUAUAAAUCGUUUACCAUAUACAACAAAACUUGAUGAAAAUACUAUGAUAAAAGUCUUGCUUUUAUUAUGUUCUUAUUUUAAGAUUUUCUCUUUGUUAUCUUUAUACAUCAAGGUAUUAUAUAUAGAUUAUAUCUAUUAACGAUAAAUUUUAUCUUAUUUCUUUUAAUUUUUAUUUUCAAGGAGAAAUUGAGACAUGUAAAUUUAUUGAUUUAGUAAUAAAGAAAAUUAAAAGCGAAUUUUGCUCACUUAGUUUAUUUAUUUGAGAUAAUUUUUGUUUAAAGUCAUUAUUUUAAUCAAUUAAUCAUAUCAGCGAAAUCGGUGCCAUUUAGGAUUGUUCAAAAACAAACCGAAAUCGUUAAUUGAACCGAACCGAUGACUUAUUGGUUUAUUGGUAUCAGACUAUCGGGGUAAUGGAUGGUAAACAAAUUGAGAUUUUAUAAUUAACUGUUUAAUGAUUUAGGGACGGAUUGCUCAAUUUUUUUAUUGGAUAAAUCGUAAACCCGUUAAAAUUUUUUAUACAUAUUUAUAUUUUUACCCUAUGUAUAUAAAGUACCAUUGAAGCCCUAAAUGGCUAAAGUAUUAAGAAGUUUGGGUCUUCAUCUUUUUAUCAUAAUCAGCUUUGUCUUUAUUUUGUCCAUACACUAGGUGUUGUUUCCGGCAAGAUAUUUUUCAUUAUAAACCGUCCGAGAAUCAUUAAUUCGAUUCUAAUUCGCUCAUUAUUUUAUUGAAUGGCUAGCGAAUUAUAAUACUUAAAAUUCGAUAACCGAUAAGUUGAAGCGUUAAGCUUAAUUAUCCGCCCGAUCUGCCCGAUAAGGCCCCUAAUCCCAUUAAUGGGUUAUUGUUAAAUAUCACUAACUAUCAAUAAUUUAUAAUAAGCAUAUGCGCAAGCAAUCCUAUAAUGUAUCGUUGCCAAAAUAAGAAAAUAUUGCCGAAAAUGAAGUAUAAAAAUUGAGCUGACUGUGGGCAGGUAGGGCAGAAUCCAGAUGUGAGGACGGCUGCCCGUGGUGCCCGAGGUGAGAAAGACAUUGUUGUUUCAGGCGUAGAAACGACGAGGGAUUAAUAGGCCGGCCGGCCGGAAUCUGCUUGGUAAUAUUCCGGGGCCAUUUUAGCAAGUUUUGUCCUUUACUUAUUUAUGGUUAUUGGUUAAUUAGGCACUUUGAACCAAUCAUCACAUGCUUUCAUUGUCAUGAUUUCCUGUGUUUAUUUUGGUUAACUUUUUUAUAACCGAAAAAUUCCACCAGGCAAAUGUACUACGACACAUACAAGGUAGACGAACAUAUAAUGGGCCGUUUCUUUAUUUUUUUCCUUGUAAGUAUUUAAUUUUUCAAACUUGUAUUGUCCACUUAUAAAAUUAUUUCGUAUGACAUAUAGAUUCGAGCAGUAUAAGCAGCCACUAACAUGGGCGGAUUUAGGGGCGCGGAACCCCCUUCGCCAAACAAUUUCACUAUAUAUAUGUUUGCCCUUAAAACGGAUAACAAUUAAAUAUGUACGCUGUUUUAAGAAUAUGUGGAUGGAUUCAAUACAAGUUAUCAAGAACGUUAGAUAAAUGAAUUAAAGAUAAAAUGAAUAACCAAACCAUUGGUGACGUUGAGGCCUGGCUCAGAAUUAAGAUGAACAAUUGUUUUGUCCUCAACCGAACCCUUGAUUGGGAGCCAAAUGUAUACGAAGAACUAUGAUUAAAAUAAGAAGUUGUACGCGGCGAAAUCAGAGGACCUGAUUUCCCACUCUCGAGUCAUUUUGCAAGAAUGCCUCGAGACCACGAGGACAUGAAGCCACGGUCGAGUUCCCGACCUUAGGGCUCGUCGAGGCCUGACUCAGAGAAGACGGAGAUCAAAGCCAGGACAGAGGGGGAAGCUCCCAAGGCACACGGCUAAGUCUGACAGGGCCGACCUAUCUAGAGCCUAUGCUGAGGCAUCGCGUCAAACCAUUCCAUCUCCAUACUUUGUAAUUAAUGCCUACGUACUUAUAGGCGAGUUCUCCUCCUAUAUAAAGGGGACUCACCCUACCUUGUAAAGGGCUCAUGUUACUCCAUUUAUCCACAAGUGCAAUAAUCUCUCUCUCUCUCUCUCUCUCUCUCUCUCUCUCUCUCUCUCUCUCUUCUUUCUAAACUCUCUCGUUCUAACUGGCCCGAGGCCACUUGCAUAUUUAUCGCUUUAUUACUUGUUCUUCGUUAUAUUGCAUAGAAUUGGCCGUGAAGCACCUUACUUAAUUAUAUCCUCAACUAUUAUCCCAUCCCCGACUAUCCCCGAUAGCUCGAGCUCGACCCUAACACCGACCCCGAGGUCCCCAAUCGACUGACCUAUACUCGGGCAGCAGGCCCUUUGGCUCAAGUACUAUCUCGUUGUAGCUUGUACUUCAUUAUUAAACUCCAUACUAUUAGCAUCAACUGCUCUAACAAAUUGCUCGAGAAUAGAUCACGUUUUUUAAAAAUCCCAUUUACAAAUUUAAUUUUUAUUACCAUUUUCAUGGUAUACAAUUUGGCGCCUAUCAUGAGGCUAAAAAUAAUAGUGAUUAUUUUCUUGAUGGUUUCAAUGCACAAAACACACAUUAUCUUUCAGACUUUUGCUUGUCCAAGAUCAUUUGAUUUCAGGUCAAAAUGGCUGGCCCGUUAAACAGAGUCGGGAGCGACUACCUUGAAAAUCACGGCGGAAACAGUGAGGCUGUUCCAGAAGUUGACACGAAGCCGUGGAACCCCGAUAACUCAUCUGGGACGAUUCCAGCAGACGCGGGUUCACGAGGUGCGCAGCAGGUCGACGAGGCCUUGCACACCUAUGAGAUUAUUCAGUAUAUCGACCAACAGGAAGCCCAACAAAACCCAGCUCGGGAAACACAUGAAGUUAGCCUUCACGAUAUUCUUGAAAUGUUGCAGGAACAACAGUUGGGUAUCGUUUAGCUACAGAGCCAUCCGAAGAUUCCCCAUAUAGUAGCAUCAGAAAUAGCUCCUUGCGCCGAACGAGUACCCAAAAGAUCAAGCAACAUUGGAUCGAUAACAGACUCCGCCAUAGCGAAGAUGCUUUGGGAUCUCUCCAAAAGGAUCGAUUCAGGUUCUUGGAGGUUCAUGCAACAGUUGUCCCCCGGGGAAGCGGUCCCGUAACUCACUUUACAGAGAUCCAAAACGCUAGAACUCCCUAGGUGCGCCAGGGCCUCGGAUCCCGACGGGCGCACCAUCGCUUACACGUGCUCGAAAAAAGGUAGCAAGCUUCAAGAUGAUAAGUUCGAGCCCGUCUCGUUGAAGAAGCUUGGGGAAACACUCUAGAAUAAACCAUGAUGUGGCGGCGCAGCCUAGCGCCUAACCUUACAAACUCGCUUACCGUACCAGCAGAUUCGUCCGCAGAAGCACAUGUCGAUGCCACCGAAGCAGUAAUGGAAGAGCCUGCUACAUCAGAGGCCGAUCAGAGAGAGAAUGAAAUACCACAGGAAGUCGUGCCUAAUUCCCUGAUAGGAUGAAUGAGAUCGCUCCCAAUUUCGGAAGACUAGGAAAUACAGGCUCAAAUGAAGCACACCCGAUAACUCCAGGUCAUUUUUGAAAUGAAGCCUGAUCAGAUACCCAACCGAGACCUGGUCGGAUGUCCGUACCUGAAACUGGUCGCGAAUCAGAGUCGUGGACAAUCGUACGGGAACCUCCACGGGCUCGGUAUAUCCGAGCAGGCUCCCGGCAAAGAAACUAAUGCCAAACAAAUAGAGGUACCAUCCAUGCACCACGGAUGGGAGGAACACCACAAGAUGAAACCUACCUCACAAUUACAGGAAAGUAGCUCAAGGGCAACAUCCUCGAGGAACCUUAAGUAGAAUCAGAUCUAACGAGACACAACCGGCAGAGGAACCACGCCCAGCAGAUUGCGAUUUCAACAUUGCUAUACUGAGCAUCGUGAUUACCAUAAGUGAAACCAGGGAUAUUGAACGACUCAGAAACAUUCUACCAAGACCCCUUCAAAAGAUCCAUGACCCGUCGUGUGAAUAGCAGGGCGCGCGCGGCCACGGGGUAAAAAAUGGCCACCAAUUCAGAAGGACGACAUAUGUGCUACUCAAUGAAAAUCACCGCUGAGUAUAAUCGAGCGGUCAGGCUCGAGUCUAUCCCCAAGGGAGAAAGGCAACCAGGAAGGAUGAAGCGAACAAGCCAAGACGUAUUACCACGACAGUGAAAGAGAGGUGACACCCUCCGAGACUCAUAAAAUGUAAAGUGAAAUAUUCGCCGUCAAGAAAAAAUGGGUCCACAAAAAUAUUCCGAAGGACACUUACACCCAGAGAAAAGGACACCGAGACUCCACCUCAGAAUCAUAGUGACUCAUUGGUAAUCCUCUCCCUCAUUUGAUCAAUUUCAAAUAAAACACGUGUUCAUGAAUUCAGGUGGUUCCAUCACGUACAACAACUAUGUCGGACCAAAGUCAAUGGGGCGGUCCUAACUAAUAGACCAAAUCGCUCCCUCAUCCCGAACCCUAGAGAAUUCCAAAGGACAAUCACCACAAAGACCAUUCUCUUGAUACGACCCGUCUGAGCUCGGUCUAGGACAUCGAGCUCUGUACCAUCAAAAGAGGCGCAAAGUAUGGACUUCUUAUUCAGGAGACCGCCGGCACCCUACCCAAGGACAGCUUCGGCCCCAUUUAGUCAAAAAAUGAAAUCCCACACAAAGGGCAGAACUAAAAUAAGUCGGCAGAGAGCUAUACGCGAUGAAAGGAAAUUCUUCACUAUAUGACGCAUCGCCGGCAUCAAUGCCCCCAACCUCGGAAGGAUCAAAGGGUAAGAAAACCACAUCUUCGGCCAAGCAUGGUAAGACACAACGGAGGGCUGUAUCGGAACCCACAUAUCAAAAAGGUAUGAACAUACCAAAAUCUCAAAACGUCGCUUAUGCAUCCUGCGGUGAGGAAGAACUGCUAUACUCCUUUGAUAUUUUAUCACUAACCUCUAUGCAGACAGUUGGCUAGGACAUUCAGGAGUUCUAACUCUACCCGGAGAGCCCUAACCUCUUCAGCAAGAUUAUUAGCGGAGCAACGUACCCCCCAAAAGAGGAACCGAUAAGGUCGCAUGCCUUUUUCUACAGUUCAACGACGAGCGAUAAUCUUCUUCUAAGGGAACCGUCCCCUUGAGAGGAUCGGGAAAUGGCAGACUAAGCCUCAAUCGGGAAUUAUGUAUCGGAUCGAACUGUACAGGGAGCGGUGCCCUCGCGGAUCGAGCUCACGACAAUGAAACAAUGUAUAUUUACACCAAGCAAUAAAAUGAUAUAUUUUCAGCAUCUUAUUUUCCAAAGAAGGAAAUCUCAAGUAUACUCCUAGCAGGGAGCCCUCUACUAAAUGCAUCCCAAAACACUCGGAGACUUAAUGUCAACAAUUUGGAACUUGCACGACCCCAGGGGGAAACUCCGGGCUCAUCAAGCCCUAAAAGGCAACUCCGACCUCACAAAAACGGUCUUCAAGCUUAAACAAAUUCAAUGACUCUGAGACUGUCAUUAACCGCCAUGUGCUGGAAAACCCAAAACUGUAAGACCCAUAGCGGGCAGACUUGGUAUAACCCGAUAUAUUCUACAUUACAACAAAAACUAUUAGACCUCAACAUGCAUGAAAAUCCCAAAGUUUAGUAUAUACAUCGCAUUUCUAAGAAUCUUGAAAGGGCACACCCUCGGUGUAGACGCCCAAACUAUCACUCGGGAUCAAAAAUGGCUUCGGCCAAACAUAUAUUACUACAGUUAAAACGGCUGAUACAACCAAAUUAACGUGACUCGGGGACGCUCGAUCGUUGCUAAACGAAAAUCGCAGGCCAUUACUUCGAAUAUACUUCGGAAAGAACCGGUAAAAACAGGUUUCCCUCAACAGGAAAAAACGAGCUUCGACCAUGUCAACUCCAAAUCACAAGGCUUCGACCUACUCAGCCUACGAGUUAUGAACCUUUCGUGGUGCAGAAAAUAUUGUCGAUAACGACUUGAAAUCGAGGUUCUUCUAGAACCGAUGAUGGGUCAGGCAAAAAUAUUUCAAAAGACCUUAAUGAGCGGAAAACAAAGCCUAUAGAAAGCCCACUGGCAAAACAGCGUAAGAGACAUUGUCGCUAGCUAAACAAGCCUCCGGGCCACACGUUGAAAGGUAUCUACGACCAAAACAACGUAGGAGGCAUUGUUGCCAGUUUAAAAAUUGACAACUUGAGGGUUAAAAUGAGCUCGAAUCGUAACCCAACUCGGAGACUAGAUCCAAAAUAGUUAACUUUGCAAGCCUCCGGGCCUCACAUUAAAAGGUCUCAACGACCGAGUCGCAACACGACUCGGAGACUGGACCCGAAAUAAGUAAACUGCAAUAUGCCUAAGGAUACGACAUAAAUGCCACUAUCGCCAGCCGAAUGAGCCUCCGGCCACCCACAUGCAAGGUCACUUCGAUCCGAAAAACAAAAGGCCAUCAUCGUCCGCCCAUGAGGCAAGAUAGAACUUUAGGGUCAAAAUUGAAGCUCGAAUCAUAAUGCGACUCAAAGACUGGACCCAAAAUAGCUGAAAUAGCAAAUGCCCAAGGGUAAGAAAUAAGAACACUUACUACUUGCCCACACGGGCAUAGAAGAUUUAAAGACAGGCAAGCUCGAGUCAAGGCCUGACUAGGAGACUGAGCUUAAAUAGCCGGGAAAAAUACGGAGGCCUCGACACCUAUUCUCGUCGAGGAUCGCACCUAAAAGCAUCCAAGAUUGCAUGAUAAUUUUCGGACCUACGAGGAUCUCUCCCAACACCGAAACCAGCCUUACUGGUAAAAACCAAUACAAAAAGAGACAGGAGCUAGAUUAGUUGGCGAUGAACAAGUAAGAAUUGCCUCAACCAAAAUUGAUGGAAUUGGACCUAAAAAAGCCAUUCAGGUUCGUUAUCGAUUAGGUAUCAGCGGAAACAUAAAGAUAAAAGAAUUAACUAAGUAUCAAAUCGACCAAAUUGAACAAAUGAUAGGUCAAGAUCAUGUUGUUCAUUGGGAAUUGAAGAGGGGAGAACGAGCAGACAUCGAACGAUUAAUUUAUAAAGAUAAAAGGAGCAAAGCUCAUUUUCCUUUCAGGGUAAAGCGGCGCAUAAAAAAGGGCUGGCCCGUCAAAAGUCCGGUUCCUUCGCGAACGAAGUUCAGAAUCAACAAGGGUUCGUAGAACGAAGGGAGUGUAUAACUGGGGCGCAGCCCCACUUUUUUGUUCGUAACGAGGGAGAGAUAGAAUGGAGUUCUUCACGAAGUUCGAAACAAAGGAAGC